CGGUUCGAGGCGAACCUCUUAUUCCUCGCGGAACCCCGGGCAGAAGGCGGCCUCUUGGACGCCAUAAUACCUUAGAUCGCGAAAGGUGGGGAGGCAUACAUGAUUAGUUUCCCUGUUACUUCCCGCGCUUAACGGAUGGGUGGUAAGGUGUUGGGGGCUUUGACCCCUGGUGGUGCGGUAGGUAUCGCAUUAAUGCCCCCCGCCUUGGGAGGACGGCGGCAAGGCUAAAUUUAAAGGGAAUUGAGGGGGGCCCGCCCAAGCGGUGGAGCAUGGGGUUUAAUUCGAAGCAACGGGAAGAACCUUACCAGGUCUUGGCAUCCUCUGACCACUCCUAGAGAUAGGAAUUUCCCCUUCGGGGACAAGAGUGACAGGUGGUGCAUGGUUGUCGUCAGCUCGUGUCGUGAGAUGUUGGGUUAAGUCCCGCAACGAGCGCAACCCUUGAUCUUAGUUGCCAGCAUUCAGUUGGGCACUCUAAGGUGACUGCCGGUGACAAACCGGAGGAAGGUGGGGAUGACGUCAAGUCAGUAUGGCCCUUACGGCCAGGGCUGCACACGUACUACAAUGCCCGGUACAAAGGGAAGCAAGACCGUCAGGUGGAGCCAAUCCCAGAAAACCGGGCCCAGUUCAGAUUGUCGUCUGCAACUCGACGGCAUGAAGUUGGAAUCGCUAGUAAUGGCGCAUCAGCUACGGCGCCGUGAAUACGUUCCCAGGCCUCGUACACACCGCCCGUCACAUCAUGGAAGCCGGUCGCACCCGAAGUGCCUGAGCCAACCGCAAGGAGGCAGGGCCCUAAGGUGUAGCUGGUAACUGGGAUGAAGUCGUAACAAGGUAUAUCGCAAA
rnacentral:rRNA from 1 species